rnacentral:lncRNA from 1 species
UAAUUAUAAUAACGAUCGAGAAAACAUGGUUCUGCGCUUACCACGUGACUACCCUUCGUUACUAUGGUACGAUGGUAAUGAGAAAAUACGACCAGGUGGAUCCCAUGAAUCCAUGAAUUGGGUCUUGGCCUACUACCUAUAUAUAUAUACCUAAGUAUACCUACCUACAUCAAUCUUGAACUUCGGAGCCCUUUGUAAGGGUACCUCAUUCCGGCACGCGCAUAAUUGGUCCCGAAUUGGCUCGAGCUGAUUAUUUCAUUCCUGUGGACUUAAUGGGCGCCAGAGGGCGUUUAAGCGAUUCAGAUAAGGGCUUGGCGUAUACAGCAGAUGCAUGCUAUGCCUGCGUGAGGUGGGAUCCGAGUCCUCUUAAAUCAAGAUUAUCAAGUUGUUUGUUUUAAGGCGAUUUAAGUCAUUAUCUUAAGACUCGAUGACGCGCAAACAAGAUACAUACGCGAUGUUAAUGCAUAAAUUAAAGAUCAAAUCAAGCGAUAACAUUGAUGUACCGGUCGAAGAAGUGCAAUCACUGUAUCCUGCUGCGAGGAAGAUUUUUUCUCUUCUAAGAAAACGCACGAUGCUAUUUCAUUGACAAAACAGUGAGUUGCCAAGUAAAACAAGUUUCUGAGUCCCGUUUGCGGCGUCCUAUCUGUCUACGUUAGUUGCAUAUUAAAAAGAAUUGAAAGUACAAUUGCUAAUUCCAAGUAUCAUGAAAAUGUUAAAAUAUGAAUCAAAUUUAAUAAAAACAGAAUAUAAUCAAUUCGAUGUAAGAAAGUUCUUCGAAUUAGAGAUGUUUCAUUUUAAAACUGAUCAGUGAAUAAACACAAUAUCUGACA